rnacentral:rRNA from 1 species
UACGAAGGGGGCGAGCGUUGUUCGGAAUUACUGGGCGUAAAGGGCGCGUAGGCGGCCGAUCAAGUUAGAUGUGAAAGUCCUGGGCUUAACCUGGGGACUGCAUUUGAUACUGAUUGGCUUGAAUUCGGGAGAGGAUAGCGGAAUUCCCAGUGUAGAGGCGAAAUUCGUAGAUAUUGGGAAGAACACCGGUGGCGAAGGCGGCUAUCUGGACCGACAUUGACGCUGAGGCGCGAAAGCGUGGGGAGCAAACAGG